AGCGAACGCUGGCGGCAAGCUUAACACAUGCAAGUCGAACGCCCCGCAAGGGGAGUGGCGGACGGGUGUAUAACACGUGGGAAUCUACCUUUCAGUGCCGGAUAACUCAGGGAAACUUGAGCUAAUACUGCAUAAUGUCUCCGGACCAAAGAUUUAUCGCUGAAAGAUGAGCCCGCGCCUGAUUAGCUAGUUGGUGGGGUAAUGGCCUACCAAGGCGACGAUCAGUAGCUGGGCUGGGAGGAUGCUCAGCCACACUGGGACUGAGACACGGCCCAGACUCGUACGGGAGGCAGCAGUGGGGAAUAUAGGACAAUGGGGGAAACCCUGAUCCAGGUAGGCCGCGUGAGUGAUGAAGGCCUUCGGGUUGUAAAGCUCUUUAGUCGGGGACGAUAAUGACGGUACCCGAAGAAUAAGCUCCGGCAAACUUCGUGCCAGCCGCCGCAGUAA
rnacentral:rRNA from 1 species